rnacentral:rRNA from 1 species
GACGAACGCUGGCGGCGUGCCUAAUACAUGCAAGUAGGACGCAGUUGCGAACGGGUGAGUAACGCGUAGGUAACUGCCUAUUAGAGGGGGAUAACUAUUGGAAACGAUAGCUAAUACCGCAUACUAGUAGAUGGACCUGCGUUGUAUUAGCUAGUAGGUAGGGUAAUGGCCUACCUAGGCUACGAUAAAUAGCCGACCUGAGAGGGGGAGCGGCCACACUGUGACUGUGACACGGCCCAGACUCCCACGGGAGGCAGCAGUAGGGAAUCUUCGGAAAUGGGGGGAACCCUGACCGAGCAACGCCGCGGGAGUGAAGAAGGUUUUCGGAUCGUAAAGCUCUGUUGUUAAGGAAGCGGUACUUAACCAGAUAGGGACGGCUAAAUACGUGCCAGCAGCCGCGGUAAUUC